rnacentral:rRNA from 1 species
UACGGAGGGGACUAGCGUUGUUCGGAAUUACUGGGCGUAAAGCGCACGUAGGCGGAUUUGUAAGUCAGGGGUGAAAUCCCGGGGCUCAACCUCGGAACUGCCUUUGAUACUGCAAAUCUCGAGUCCGGAAGAGGUGAGUGGAAUUCCUAGUGUAGAGGUGAAAUCCGUAGAUAUCGGGAGGAACACCAGUGGCGAAGGCGGCCAUCUGGACGGUGACUGACGCUGAGACGCGAAAGCGUGGGGAGCAAACAGG